GUCCAUUAUUCAAUUAUUCCAUUAUUCAAGUUUACUGUCGACAAAACAUGGCCCAUUUGAACGAGUGUCAGUAGACAACGAGCUAAUUUUUUUUUAUAGAUUGGGGCAUAGCAUUCAGCCGCCUUAGAAAAAACUCCGUAUUGAUAAAAGACAACGAAAAGGGCAAACAGAUACUCAAAAUCAUGCUUUCGAAACUAAUGACUAGAAAAAAACACUAACAAUUUCAAAUGUCCCGCGCUGCGAAUUUGUCGACCAUUUCCCACAAUGCACCGGGAAAAAUGAA